AUUGAACGCUGGCGGCAGGCUUAACACAUGCAAGUCGAGCGGGGUGAUGGUGCUUGCACUAUCACUUAGCGGCGGACGGGUGAGUAAUGCUUAGGAAUCUGCCUAUUAGUGGGGGACAACAUCCCGAAAGGGAUGCUAAUACCGCAUACGUCCUACGGGAGAAAGCAGGGGAUCACUUGUGACUCUGCGCUAAGAGAUGAGCCUAAGUCGGAUUAGCUAGUGGGUGGGGUAAAGGCCUACCAAGGCGACGAUCUGUAGCGGGUCUGAGAGGAUGAUCCGCCACACUGGGGCUGAGACACGGCCCAGACUCCUACGGGAGGCAGCAGUGGGGAAUAUUGGACAAUGGGGGGAACCCUGAUCCAGCCAUGCCGCGUGUGUGAAGAAGGCCUUAUGGUUGUAAAGCACUUUAAGCGAGGAGGAGGCUCUUUUGGUUAAUACCCAAGAUGAGUGGACGUUACUCGCAGAAUAAGUACCGGCUAACUCUGUGCCAGCAGCCGCAGUAA
rnacentral:rRNA from 1 species